rnacentral:rRNA from 1 species
AGAGUUUGAUCAUGGCUCAGAAUGAACGCUGGCGGCGUGCUUAACACAUGCAAGUCGAACGAGAACACCAUAGCUUGCUAUGGUAAGUAAAGUGGCGAACGGGUGAGUAACGCGUGGGUAAUCUGCCCUUGAAUUUGGGAUAACAUUGCGAAAGCGAUGCUAAUACCGAAUGAAGUCUUGAACACAUAAGUGAAUGAGAUGAAAGGUGGCCUCUUCAAGAAAGCUACUGUUUGAGGAUGAGCCCGCGUACCAUUAGUUAGUUGGUGGGGUAAAGGCCUACCAAGGCAGCGAUGGUUAGCUGGUCUGAGAGGAUGAUCAGCCACACUGGAACUGACACACGGUCCAGACUCCUACGGGAGGCAGCAGUGAGGAAUUUUGCGCAAUGGGGGAAACCCUGACGCAGCAACGCCGCGUGAGUGAUGAAGGCUUUCGGGUCGUAAAGCUCUGUCAAAUGGGAAGAACAUCUAAUAGUUUAAUAAGUUAUUAGACUGACGGUACCAUUAAAGGAAGCACCGGCUAACUCCGUGCCAGCAGCCGCGGUAAUACGGAGGGUGCAAGCGUUAUUCGGAAUUAUUGGGCGUAAAGAGCGCGUAGGCGGUUUGAUAAGUCAGAUGUG